GACGAACGCUGGCGGCGUGCUUAACACAUGCAAGUCGAACGGUAAGGCCCUUCGGGGUACACGAGUGGCGAACGGGUGAGUAACACGUGGGUGAUCUGCCCUGCACUUCGGGAUAAGCAUGGGAAACUGGGUCUAAUACCGGAUAGGACCCUGGGAUGCAUGUCCUGGGGUGGAAAGCUUUUGCGAUGUGGGUUGGGCCCGCGGGGUAUCAGCUUGGUGGGGGGGUGAUGGCCUACCAAGGCGACGACGGGUAGCCGGCCUGAGAGGGUGCCGGGCACCGCUGGGACUGGGAUACGGCCCAGACGCCUGCGGGAGGCGACACUGGGGAAGAUUGCACAAUGGGCGCAAGCCUGAUGCAGCGACGCCGCGUGAGGGAUGACGGCCUUCGGGUUGUAAGCCUCUUUCAGCACCGACGAAGCGCAAGUGACGGUAGGUGCAGAAGAAGGACCGGCCAACUACGUGCCAGCCGCCGCGGUAA
rnacentral:rRNA from 1 species